GGCCCAUUUGCCCCAUUCACUAAACACACAAAAAAAACCUAGAAUCAGAAUAAGAAACGGCUGCCCCCCAUUUUCUUUCCAUCGUUUUAUCUGUCAUCGUAAAAAACUCACCAAUUCUCAAAUCACCAUUUUUCUAUAUUCAAACAGGAACAACAAUAACAUUUGAAUUAAUGCAAUCAAUAGAUGAGAUAAGAUGCUAACCUCUAUGGCCUCGACUAUGAUAACAACCGGAUUUUCAGGGUGGUGGAGAGUGGUGGUUCCGAUGGCCCGGCGAUUGAGAUGAUGAUGAAGAUCGAACCGUGUUGCUUUGUGUCUCGGUGAGUUUGGUGUUGAUGCCCGCGACUGAGUGGUCGCGAUUUGCAGCUGUGCUCAGUGGAUCGGUAGAGGCCGAGAGCGGUCGGAAAUUUCGUGGUAGAAGAGAUCCAUACGAUUAGCUUUUCUCCUUCCUGCAAAAUAAAACAUCAAUAACAACAAAAUUGUAUACGCAAUAGAUUUGAAUUGAUUUUUUUUUUUAUGUUUGUCAUAAUUAAUUUGCAGGUCUCUUUGUGUGGUUUUUGUGUUGUAAAGAGUUAGUAUUGGUUUACUGAGUUUUUCAUGAAAGUAGCAACAGGUUGGUCAAAGGUUUUAACACAUUUUUACAUGUUAUUAAAUUUGAAUGCAACUAGUAUUAGAUAGGUGGAUAAUGAAAUUGAAAGUGAGGUUACUGGAAACGUGGGAUAAUGAGUAAUUUGCAAAGGUUAUUGGUGUGAAAUGACUUGUAGAUCGUUAGAAAAACAAUUAGUGUAGUCAACUACCUAACUAAGAAUAUAACAUGCCUAUUAACUCCCUUAAUUGCCCUUUCACUAAUUUUAAUUUGCACUAAAAUAUACCCAUUUUGGUAAUUUGCUAAAUCAAACUUCACUUAGACCAAUUAUAUUUCACCAUUAAUCCAAGUGGCACCCUUUUCUCAAUUUUGCUAUUGGUUAUUCUAUAACAACAAAUUAACCAUUGUGUAAUAAAAAUUGUUUCAUUACACUGUUGAUUUAGGGCUUUACACGCUAGACAAAACCAAUCACAAUUUCAAUAUUUCCCUCUCUUUCUCUCUUUUACUUUCAUUCUGCUUCCUCAUUCUCUCUCUACACUAAACCUCCGAUUUUUCCAUUGCUACUUCGCGCAUUCCACGGGUAAGAAAACAAUGUUUCUCCCUUCUUUCUUCUUCUUCAUCUUUUGUUCACAUGUUUUCUUCAUAUUGAUUCUUCGGUUCAAGUGAUUUUGUUACAUUUAUUUUUUUCGUGGUGGUUGAUGUUACCAAUCUGGUUAUUGUGAGUUUAUUUUCCCAAAUAUGGUGUGCUGAUAUUCAAGCUUCAUACCUAUAUCAUCUGUAAAGUUUUGAUUUUGGUCAAGUUUUGAGAUUUAUAACAUUUGUGUUCUUCAUUUGUGUAAAGUUUCGAUUUUGCCAUGACAUUUGCGUUGUUCAUGGUGGUUGAUGUUACCAAUCUGGUUAUUGUGAGCUUAUUUUCCCAAAUAUGGUGUAUUGAUGUUCAAAACACAUACAGUUGUGAUUUUUUUAGUGAUCUUUUUACUGAUUUUGAUGAAUGUUGUUAAAGUUGUGAUUUUUAUAGUGAUCUUUUUAGUCAUUUUGAUAAAUUGUCUUAAAGUUAUGAUUUUUAUAAAUUUGUGAAGUUGUGAUUUUUAUACUGAUUUUAAUAUUUACUGAUAUUGUGAUGUUUAUAAAGAUUCUUAAAGAGAUGAUUUUUAUAAAGUAGUGAUUUUUAUGAAGUAGUGAUUCUUUUGAAAUUGUUCUCAUAAGCUUUGGAGGAUCUUUACCUUAGGACAUCUAAUUAGUUUUCACUCUCCAGAAAUGUUCUGUUUUCGAAGUGCAAUAGGUGUGUAUGAUGUUAGGUUUAUUUUUCGAUUAUUUGUAGUGAUUUUGAUUUGAUGAUAUCUUACGAUGUUGUUUGGUUUGACUACAGGAAAGGGUAUAAUUCUGGAGCUUCCAUGACAUGUUCUGGUUGUCAAAGAAGUGGUAUGAGUAUAUCUAUGAGGCAUUUCGCUGCUAAUUAGAUUCAACAAAUGCAACAUCCUUGCAGUGAAUAUAAGGAAGUGGUAUGAAUAUUUCUAUGAAUAUUCCUAACACCGCAAUUUUUUAUAGGAUGAACUAGAGGUGGCCCUAACAGAUUUAAAAGCCAUUGUGCUGCAGCAUUAGGAAUUAAAGAGGAAGCAAUUGAAGUUGCUCAUACAUCAGCUAACAGAUGGACAGGUUCUAUGAUGAUGCCUAUUAUUUUCUUCUUGCUAUGGCUAAAAACGGUUUAAGACAAUAUUUUCACUCUGAAGUAAUGGUGUUCAAACAACUUCUCUAAGGCUAAGGAACACCUUGAAAAUAUGUACAAGGAGGUCAUUCAUUUCAUUUUAAUGCUUCAAUCUGCAAGCACCGUGCCUAAUUCUUAACCAACUAUUAGGCUUCUUUUGGUUCUAAAAUAGUUACAACAAAUGGAUUGAUAAAUGUUUUUUUGGAUGGCCUUUAUAACUUGUUGUUACUUUGUAUCUCCAUGCAGAUUGGUAGAACAGAUGAUUUUGACUAUUUGGAGAUGGCACCUCUUCCUUCCAAAGCAGUAGCUGAAUGAAUAUUAUUUGGCCAUUAAUACUCUUACCAUUUGCAUGCUAGAACUAUGUAAAUAAUAGUAACUUAAGACAUGAAAACCACUAUUUUUUUUAAUUCUAUACUCAUGUUGUUUCAUAGUUUUGAUUAUGAUCUUUAAUGAGUUUCAGACAAGGAGUAAUAUACUUAGUAUUCAAUCUUAACAGCAUUUGAACUGAGUUUUCAUAAAUCAGACUGUAAUAACAAAACUUUGAUAAGGUUAAAUGGUAUACAUAUCAGGUAGCCAAUUUUGAGGCACUUUUCAUACAACUUUUUCAUUUUUUCCUGCAAUAUAAUAUUGGUUUAGUAAUCUUUUUUACGUUAAUCCCACAUUUUGGAUUAGAGCUUAUAAUGUCGGAACAUUUAGACAGUUUAAUACAUUCAUUAGCACAUUCAAUGAUAGUACCAUGUACCAGUAUAAUGAUAUUGUAUUUUAAAUACAUGACUGAUAGCAGUGACUAUGACAGUUAAUAUUGUAUAUUGAAUUACUGCUUCUUUCAGCUUCCUUCCUACUACUUUUCUAAGGCUAGAUUUGACAGAUAUGCUUUUUGGGAAACUCGCCAUUCUAGGUUCAAGUGUUCAUUAAAUGCCAACUGCUAACUUUUGCAAAGCUUCAUCCUUCGGACAGUUUAUGUAUGCUUUCAAACAUGUUUAUGCUAUAAGGUACCAUUGCUUUAUCGAAUGCCACUCCCAUAUAAGCUACACUUAUACAUUAUAAAAGAGAAAACUGUAACCAUGCUUUCAUUUGCCGUACAAUUCACAUACUUAUUUUAUGCAAUUUUCAUUAUGAUGACAUGACUUAAGUUGCAUUAGCAUUAUAACCUAUUGUGUAAGACCCUGUU